rnacentral:rRNA from 1 species
GUCUAUAGCCAUGUCACCCCGAACAAGCCUGAUCCCGUCUGAUCUCAAAAGCUGAGCAGGGUCAAGCCUGGUUAGUACCUGGAUGGGAGACCACCUAGGAAGAUCAGGUGCCAUAGGCA